UGAAGCUGCAACCUUACCGCCA
rnacentral:siRNA from 1 species